rnacentral:other from 1 species
AUAAUCCUGAGUUGUGCGACGGGGAUUUUAUAAUUCAACCUACAUCAUCACAUAGGGAGCCCGGGUCCUGCUGACUAUGUCAUGCCCGCUAUGACGGGAAGGCAGAAAACAGAGGCAGGGCACCCACCUAACAUCAGUUAGGGCGUGAAUUAUAACCCUGACGGCAACCUGGGAUUAUU